rnacentral:rRNA from 1 species
GUAAGGAAUAUUGGACAAUGGGGGGAACCCUGAUCCAGCCAUGCCGCGUGUGUGAAGAAGGCCUUUUGGUUGUAAAGCACUUUAAGCGAGGAGGAGGCUACCGAGAUUAAUACUCUUGGAUAGUGGACGUUACUCGCAGAAUAAGCACCGGCUAACUCUGUGCCAGCAGCCGCGGUAAUACAGAGGGUGCAAGCGUUAAUCGGAUUUACUGGGCGUAAAGCGCGCGUAGGUGGCCAAUUAAGUCAAAUGUGAAAUCCCCGAGCUUAACUUGGGAAUUGCAUUCGAUACUGGUUGGCUAGAGUAUGGGAGAGGAUGGUAGAAUUCCAGGUGUAGCGGUGAAAUGCGUAGAGAUCUGGAGGAAUACCGAUGGCGAAGGCAGCCAUCUGGCCUAAUACUGACACUGAGGUGCGAAAGCAUGGGGAGCAAACAGGAUUAGAAACCCUUGUAGUCC